AUUGAACGCUGGCGGCAUGCCUUACACAUGCAAGUCGAACGGCAGCACGGGCUUCGGUCUGGUGGCGAGUGGCGAACGGGUGAGUAAUGUAUCGGAACGUACCUUUCAGUGGGGGAUAACGUAGCGAAAGUUACGCUAAUACCGCAUAUUCUGUGAGCAGGAAAGCAGGGGAUCGCAAGACCUUGCGCUGAUUGAGCGGCCGAUAUCAGAUUAGCUAGUUGGUGGGUAAAGGCCUACCAAGGCUACGAUCUGUAGCGGGUCUGAGAGGAUGAUCCGCCACACUGGAACUGAGACACGGUCCAGACUCCUACGGGAGGCAGCAGUGGGGAAUUUUGGACAAUGGGCGCAAGCCUGAUCCAGCCAUGCCGCGUGUGUGAAGAAGGCCUUCGGGUUGUAAGCACUUUUGUUGGGUAAGGAAACCGGUCGGAGUUAAUAACUUCGGCUGAAUGACGGUACCCAAAGAAUAAGCACCGGCUAACUUACGUGCCAGCAGCCGAC
rnacentral:rRNA from 1 species